rnacentral:lncRNA from 1 species
CCUCGGAGGACAAAGCCUUCAUGGCUAUAACCUCCAUAUUAUACACGACAAAAAAAAAAUUCUUCCGACGGUGACGUCAUAACGGCGGCGACGGUUCCGUUCGACCGACACAGUCCGCGUUUCUCAACGUUCCUUAGUCGAGAAGUUAUUACAGUCAACGUUUCCACCAAUCGGGACCCCGGAUUCCGAUUCUUCCAGUUUUUUGCGUUUUUCUCCCCGAGUUCCGCCACUUUUACGGCGAACCUAUACAUUUUCCGAAUCGGGACGUCGUCCCGCAUUCGAAACCAAAAAUAUCGCAUCGGUUUCGAUCUUAUUCCGUUUUUUACUGUUAACGUUCCGUCUAAUUUUCCACUAAUCGAUACCUCGCCGAUCUCCCCCUACCUGUCUAGAUCCCUUCUAUCCUUCGGGUGCUAUCAAAAUUCGUUUAAGCUGCCGUCCUACGGUUUUUUAGUUAUGACGACCGACGGACCGACCAAUCGGAUUUCGGCUGCAACCUUCGCUUUUCGAAAACUUUGGGGCGAAAAUUUAACGUCUCAUUCUCGUCCGAUUCCGUCAUCCGAGGGAUCCUUUUACAGUUUACGAUCUCUAGUUACGGAAUUUGUUCUUCUGCGAAAGAUAUCUGUUUUGGAUUUUUCGUUUAUUCCGCUAAAACUUCCGACCUUCGGAAAGCGACCAAAGACCGAUUAACUGAUAACAAUCCUAACCGCGUUCGGAUUUUCCACCUUCAGUUGCACGCUAGUGGACUUACGACUUAUUUACGUCUAAAAAAAAUUAGGAUUCUAAUCGUAAAUUCUUCAAAAUUUAUACGAACCCUGUCCCGGGCGUCACUGCGUAGAAAAAAAAAUCGUCUCUACCCUCGUACGAAGGAGCGAAUUUAUCCCGUUUCCGGGCCAAAAGUUAGAUGACGGUAUUUCUACGGCGCGGAUUUCACAACAAGCCCCAGAGAAAUACUGUCGCGAAGAAAUUUUUAACAUUUAGAAAAAUAACAAUAACUCGCAUCGGUUCAGAAACGUCAUAUACUCUUUUUUAAAAAUGCCGCUUAAAUUAUAAAAUAAGAAAAUUCGGUACAGGAAUACUUCGCUUAGCGCGGCUUCACUCAAUUCUGACCCCGCUAUAGUACGGUUAGUAGUUUGAGGAAUAAAUUUCAAUUAGUACGGAUUCAUUCAUUAUUAUGCUUUUUGGAAAAAUUU